rnacentral:rRNA from 2 species
GCGACCCCAGUCAGUCGG